UUUCCUUAUUGUAGGGCAGAAUAAAAGGCACCAGAGAGCUGAGGGAAGAUGCGAUUCAGUUCUUCCCUUUUUAUUAAAAAAACUGCUGCCAGAAAGAGGAAAGAGUAGUUGGUUAAAUCUGUCAGUUUUGAGUUCUCGUGAUUAUUUUCAUUGAAAGUUAGUGAUGAUGGGACUUCAAAAUUGAUUGUUUGUCCCGCUCAUAGCAGCAACCCAUUUUGGUGUUUCCUCUCAGUUUCCCAGGGUUUACCACCAGGGAAAAUUGCUUGUCUUCCCAUUUAAGCAACUCAAUCCCAGCUGGUGUCCCUGGGAGCCCAAGGGAAGGCGCUGAAGAGAGAAAUCUUCCUGCCAGCUUCCUCCAGGAAUGUUUCCCCUGGCGUGAUGUGGGCGCUGGGAAGCGUCUGUUUGGCUCCCUGCUCCCAGGGGACAGGCAUUACUUCCGUUGAGUGUCAGAUAAUUGUCAAGUCCUCACCAAGGAUGAUACUGCUGCUGCUGUGAAACCGUCAAAGGUCUGCUGCUUGUUUGGGGUCUGUUGUGAUUCUGGAGCUAUUGAAACACGACAGCAGGUGACCCUCGUUCACCCACGUCUGCUCACAGUGUCUGCAGAGCAGGAGUUUGGACUGACUGCAUGGGCGUUCACCAGCUCGGGCCUCCUGCUGGCCUGGCACCGAGGGGCGGUCAGCGGCCAGCAUGAGAGCUUGUCCGGUCCCGACUUUCCACUCACCUCUUUGCUAAGAUGUUGGCUCAAGUUAAUUUGGCCAGGAUGUAUUUUAAUUUAUU
rnacentral:lncRNA from 1 species